rnacentral:rRNA from 1 species
UACGGAGGGUGCAAGCGUUAUCCGGAUUCACUGGGUUUAAAGGGUGCGUAGGUGGGUUGGUAAGUCAGUGGUGAAAUCCCCGAGCUUAACUUGGGAACUGCCAUUGAUACUAUCAGUCUUGAAUACUGUGGAGGUUAGCGGAAUAUGUCAUGUAGCGGUGAAAUGCUUAGAUAUGACAUAGAACACCAAUUGCGAAGGCAGCUGGCUACACGAAUAUUGACACUGAUGCACGAAGGCGUGGGGAUCAAACAGG